rnacentral:rRNA from 1 species
UUAACCGAAUAGGGGAGCCGGAGGGAAACCGAGUCUUAAUUGGGCGUUAAGUUGCAGGGUAUAGACCCGAAACCCGGUGAUCUAGCCAUGGGCAGGUUGAAGGUUGGGUAACACUAACUGGAGGACCGAACCGACUAAUGUUGAAAAAUUAGCGGAUGACCUGUGGCUGGGGGUGAAAGGCCAAUCAAACCGGGAGAUAGCUGGUUCUCCCCGAAAGCUAUUUAGGUAGCGCCUCGUGAAUUCAUCUCCGGGGGUAGAGCACUGUUUCGGCUAGGGGGCCAUCCCGGCUUACCAACCCGAUGCAAACUGCGAAUACCGGAGAAUGUUAUCACGGGAGACACACGGCGGGUGCUAACGUCCGUCGUGAAGAGGGAAACAACCCAGACCGCCAGCUAAGGUCCCAAAGUCACAGUUAAGUGGGAAACGAUGUGGGAAGGCUCAGACAGCCAGGAUGUUGGCUUAGAAGCAGCCAUCAUUUAAAGAAAGCGUAAUAGCUCACUGGUCGAGUCGGCCUGCGCGGAAGAUGUAACGGGGCUAAACCAUGCACCGAAGCUGCGGCAGCGACGCUGAUGCGUUGUUGGGUAGGGGAGCGUUCUGUAAGCCUGUGAAGGUGGCCUGUGAGGGUUGCUGGAGGUAUCAGAAGUGCGAAUGCUGACAUAAGUAACGAUAAAGCGGGUGAAAAGCCCGCUCGCCGGAAGACCAAGGGUUCCUGUCCAACGUUAAUCGGGGCAGGGUGAGUCGACCCCUAAGGCGAGGCCGAAAGGCGUAGUCGAUGGGAAACGGGUUAAUAUUCCCGUACUUGGUGUUACUGCGAAGGGGGGACGGAGAAGGCUAUGUUGGCCGGGCGACGGUUGUCCCGGUUUAAGCGUGUAGGCUGGUUUUCCAGGCAAAUCCGGAAAAUCAAGGCUGAGGCGUGAUGACGAGGC